ACGCUAGCGGGAGGCCUAACACAUGCAAGCCGAGCGGUAUUUGUUCUUCGGAACAGAGAGAGCGGCGUACGGGUGCGGAACACGUGUGCAACCUGCCUUUAUCUGGGGGAUAGCCUUUCGAAAGGAAGAUUAAUACCCCAUAAUAUAUUUUACGGCAUCGUGGAAUAUUGAAAACUCCGGUGGAUAGAGAUGGGCACGCGCAAGAUUAGAUAGUUGGUGAGGUAACGGCUCACCAAGUCAGUGAUCUUUAGGGGGCCUGAGAGGGUGAUCCCCCACACUGGUACUGAGACACGGACCAGACUCCUACGGGAGGCAGCAGUGAGGAAUAUUGGACAAUGGGUGCAAGCCUGAUCCAGCCAUCCCGCGUGAAGGACUAAGGCCCUAUGGGUUGUAAACUUCUUUUAUACUGGGAUAAGCCUACUUACGUGUAAGUAGCUGAAGGUACAGUAUGAAUAAGCACCGGCUAACUCCGUGCCAGCAGCCGCGGUAAUACGGAGGGUGCAAGCGUUAUCCGGAUUUAUUGGGUUUAAAGGGUCCGUAGGCGGAUCUGUAAGUCAGUGGUGAAAUCUCAUAGCUUAACUGUGAAACUGCCAUUGAUACUGCAGGUCUUGAGUGAGAUUGAGGUAGCUGGAAUAAGUAGUGUAGCGGUGAAAUGCAUAGAUAUUACUUAGAACACCAAUUGCGAAGGCAGGUUACCAAGUCUUAACUGACGCUGAGGGACGAAAGCGUGGGGAGCGAAC
rnacentral:rRNA from 1 species